rnacentral:rRNA from 1 species
GACGAACGCUGGCGGCGCGCCUAACACAUGCAAGUCGAACGGAGCUGAGAGAAGCUUGCUUUUCUUAGCUUAGUGGCGAACGGGUGAGUAACGCGUGAGUAACCUGCCCUGGAGUGGGGGACAACAGUUGGAAACGACUGCUAAUACCGCAUAAGCCCACGAUCCGGCAUCGGAUUGAGGGAAAAGGAUUUAUUCGCUUCAGGAUGGACUCGCGUCCAAUUAGCUAGUUGGUGAGGUAACGGCCCACCAAGGCGACGAUUGGUAGCCGGACUGAGAGGUUGAACGGCCACAUUAGGACUGAGACACGGCCCAGACUCCUACGGGAGGCAGCAGUGGGGGAUAUUGCACAAUGGGGGAAACCCUGAUGCAGCGACGCCGCGUGGAGGAAGAAGGUUUUCGGAUUGUAAACUCCUGUCGUUAGGGACGAUAAUGACGGUACCUAACAAGAAAGCGCCGGCUAACUACGUG